AGCUGUCAUGGUAACUCAAAGCAGAAAAAAAGAGAGCCGCAUUUGCGCAUGCGGUUGUGACGUCAGUGCAGCAGGCGCAAAGAGCCCAUCUAGUGUAAUAACAUCACACUGCUACAUUUGCUUUACGGGGGGGUAUUGUAAUCCAUAGGGGGACCCAGAAAAAUCUUUGGGAACCACUGAGAUAGUUAGUUAUGUGGAUCGCCUCGACACCAGGUAAAUUCUCAAGAUUAUUAGAGAAGUGUUGGGAACCGGGGUUUUGGUUCUUUGUGGGGAUUUGCUGUUUGCCUGCUGCUUCCCUCUUCGGCCACUAGAUGGUGGUAGAGGCUGCUACACCUUGGAGGGCGUGCCUGCUGACUCAGGUCAGCACACCUGUGAUUCAUCACCUAAUCAUCCAGGAGUAUAUGAGGAGCAGGCUGCCAGCACUGAGUGUUUGCCAGUUAUGGUACUCUGCGCCCCUCUGAGCUUGCUCUCUGUGUUUCUCUGAAAUUACUUUUGGUAAUUAAUCCUUGUUGCCUCUCUCUCUCUCAGGUGUUUCCUUGUGACGCCUUGGAAAUUCCCCUGUGAAGCCCGAGUCCUGACUUUCUGGAUCUCUCCCCUCGUGACGCCGUGGAUUGUUACCCACUGGUUGCCCGAGUUCCUUCCUGGCCUCUGCAGAUCUUCAAUAAACCAUUCCUGGAUUCUCAGCUGGCAGUCGGUUCGCUCCUCGCUCCUCCACACCUGAACUUACCUGUCCGCCCUCCACCGCAGCCUCUACAUCUACCUGCAAAGAACUCACUCAGUCAAGAUCUGACGCUGGAACCCGGAUCACUUCAAGGACACCCACAAAGAGACCAAACCACGGCAUCGGCCCCUGGAGGAAGUCCAUCUUCAUCUCAAGCAGGGGAAGAGGUUGGCGAGCUCCAUGAAGAGUGGCAGCAGGACGAACCUGAUGAAGCCGAUCUGAGAUGAAGGUUUGGUCACUUUGUCUCUGUCCAUGAAGGGACUGACUGGAAGACCCUCCAACUUCUCCACGUCACUCUGAGGACAGAAACUCCUGGAUUCAGUUUACAUUUCGGCCCAGCGGCCAUGUUCUCUGAAGUGUGGAGCAAAAGCAGAACUUGUCCAAGGCUACAAACUAAUCACAGCUCAGGGUGUCUGAUUUUAGUUCAUGUAAUCUACCUGAGAUAAAGGAAAAACUGUAGUGUACCUCUCCUAAUCUACACAGACCUUCCUCCUCCUCCUCUUCCUGAAUAUUGAAUAUUCAGCCGUUCCUUUGAUCUGCAGCUCUAUUCAUAUUCAGAUGAAUGUGAUGCUGAGCAUCCAAACUCUCUCUGACGCCGUCAUACUGGAUAUUAGUUUUCCAUGUGCAGUGGCCAUGUUGGAUCGUGAACCUGGGUGUGGCUCCUGCCUCCAAAUUACUUCAGAAGUUGAAGCCGGAUUAUGUGGUACCUGGUUGAAGAACUCCUGUAACAGGCAGUCCAGCCAGGGCUCGGCCACCUCCAUGGGCCGCGCUUCGUUGGAAAUGUCGCUCACUUUGAUCAGGAUCAUCAUGA